CUGCAGCCACAUGACUAAAAAUCUAACCACAGUCUGCAUUACCAACAGUCACCUGAGCUAAACAGCACAAAUCACCUGCAAAACUCACUCCAAGCAACACAACUCUUAACACACUUCUCAAAACAGGCUCAGUACAAACACACGCUA